GGCGAAGCAACUAGUGUACUCCCUGUACCACGACAUUGAGGAAAUCUCGCACAUUCAAGCUGGGCCCAUCACUAAAGCCGUCACUGCCCCAGAGAAGGGUGACAGUCUCCACACCGAGCGCUACUAUGAGGUAGCCUGGAAGGACACAACCAUCGUUAAAGGAGCGGCUGAGGCCUACACCCGCAUGAAGUAUACUGGGACUGCUGCCGC
rnacentral:lncRNA from 1 species